rnacentral:ncRNA from 1 species
AAGCUAGGACGACCUAGCCUCUUUACUUACAGGGGACGACCUC